GUUGGCUUACAAUCGCCACUUCACACAAUACAUGAAUAUAGCAUUACAUCAUCCAGAAUACAAUCAAGGUCCGACUAUGGAACCAAAAUAAGAAAGACAGCCCCAAUUGCAUAGAUCCCCGAUCGCCCCGACUGGGCUCCACUACUGAUCAAAAGGAAAUGAAACAACACAACAAACACUAACUUCAUCGAGCUGCUCCUCGAGCUCGGCUGCGUCACCUGCACUGGUAUCAUCGGCACCUGCAACUGGUUUUGGAAGUAAUUUGUGAGUCACGGGGACUCAACAAUCUCACACCCUCACGAUCAAGACUAUUUAAGCUCAUGGGUAGGAAAAAGGUAGUGAGAUGGAGCUGCAGCAAGCACUAGCAUAUAUGGUGGCUAACUUACGCAAAAGAGAGCGAGAAGAGAAGCAAAGCACGGUCGUGAACUAGAAGUGAUCAAGAAGUGAUCCUGAAACUACUUAUGUUCAAGCAUAACACAAGAAUCGUGUUCACUUCCCGGACUCCGCCGGGAAGAGACCAUCACGGCUACACACACGGUUGAUGCAUUUUAAUUAUGUUAAGUGUCAAGUUUUCUACAACCGGAUAUUAACAAAUUCCCAUCUGCCCAUAACCGCGGGCACGGCUUUCGAAAGUUCGAAACCCUGCAGGGGUGUCCCAACUUAGCCCAUCACAAGCUCUCAUGGUCAACGAAGGAUAUUCCUUCUCCCAGGAAGACCCGGCCAGGCUCGGAAUCCCGGUUACAAGACAUCUCGACAAUGGUAAAACAAGACUAGCAAGACCACCCGCUGUGCUGACAAAUCCCGAUAGGAGCUGCACAUAUCUCGUUCUCAGGGCACACCGGAUAAGCUAAGCGUACAGGAGCCGACGUAACCCAAGUUGCCAAGGGAUGGCCCUGCACGGUGCUCUAGUUUGGACCAACACUCAGAGUCUGCAGAACCCAAGGGAAAAAGGCUAGGUGGCAAAUGGUAAAACCAAGGUUGGGCCUUGCUGGAGGAGUUUUAUUCAAGGCGAACUGUCAAGGGGUUCCCAUUAUAACCCAACUGCGUAAGGAACGCAAAAUCAAGGAACAUAACACCGGUAUGACGGAAACUAGGACGACAAGAGUGGAACAAAACACCAGGCAUAAGGCCGAGCCUUCCACCCUUUACCAAGUAUAUAGGUGCAUGAACUAAAUAAGAGAUAUUGUGAUAUCCCAACAAUAUCCAUGUUCCGACAUGGAACAAACUCCAAUCUUCACCUGCAACUAACAACGCUAUAAGAGGGGCUGAGCAAAGCGGUAACAUAGCCAAACAACGGUUUGCUAGGACAAGGUGGGUUAGAGGUUUGACAUGGCAAUAUGGGAGGCAUGAUAUAGCAAGUGGUAGGUAUCGCAGCAUAGAAAAAGAGCGAGCAACUAGCAAGCAAAGAUAGAAGUGAUUUCAAUGGUAUGGUCAUCUUGCGUGAGAUCCCGCAAGGAAGAAGAACGAGUCCAUGAAGAAGACAAACGGACGUAGUCGAACAGAUCCUCACAACUCCGGAACGAAACCGAAGCUAAUGAGAGAAGCAACCCGGAAAGAAGCAAACAACAUAGUAAACAACCAUCACAUAAACAUGGCAUGAUGCACAACCAAGUAUGAUGCAUGUCCGAUUUAAUGGCAUGGCAUGGCAAAGUGCAACAAACAACACUAAAAUUAAGUGGAGCUCAAUAUGCAACGAGUUGCAUAUUGACGAAACACCACAUGACUUAUUUAGUUCGAUCUCGUUUAUGUACUCAACAAUAUUAAAUGUUGGUUAGCAUGGCAAGAGGUGAAGCAAAAUAAAACUACCUAUCUAGGCAAGUUUAAAUGAGGCCGGAAAAACAAACAACAAGUCCGGAAACUCCUCAUGUGCAUAUUUCAGGUUUUGGUACUGUUCUGCCCUAAACAUAAUUUUAGAGUUGUUAAACAUGCAAAGUGAUGCCACCAUGUUAAACUAGGCAUUUUUUCACCCCAUUUACAUAUAAAGUUUGUUAGGUUUGGAGCUACGGUUAUUUGGUUAUGAAUUAAAGCAUUUUAACAUGGCAUUAGGUAAAUUAUAAGCAAACAUCAUUUUAAACAUUUUUAACAUGGAUGAAAGUUGCAAAAUAUGAAUCUAGACACAAUUCUAAGCAUUUUUAAAUAUAUAAUUUAUUUUAAAAAGAUGCACCGUUUGUGAGUUAUUAAAUGUAUGAACAUGAGGGUCUUUUCUGAAAAACUGCAGUCUCUGGAAUAAUAUCUAAAUUUGUCCAUGAAAAAAAAACAUGAAUCGGGCCGCAUCUGAGACUUGGCCCAACAAGAGGAGAAAAAGGGGCUCGGGUGUGACCUCACCCAUGGGCCAGACCCAGUUCGGCGGAUCUGGAGUCCAACGGCGUGACGCUGGGCCACUCCAGAUCAAGGCGAGGCAGAUCGAUACGUUGGACGCGGUCAACGCACGCGGCUGGACCGGGCGAGCUCUUCUCGCUCGAUCUGGACAGCGGGGAGGUACUGAAGCGGGAGCGGCCAUCUGCUCGUCGGAAGCAGAGCAGCAGUGGCGCUGAACGGGAAGGCGGCAGCGGGGUCCGGCGAGACAGGGAACUCCGGCGGAACAGCAGGGAUGGAGCGGGCGCAGGUGGGUUAACACAGACGGGCCAAGCGGGCACUGCUCCUGUCGGCGCGCCAUGGCUCUUGUCCUACGACGGUUCAGAGAGAGGGGGAGAAAUGCGUGAGGGGAAGAAAACAGAGGAAGGAAGGAGAAAUAAGGGGAGGCGGCGAGGGCCCUGGCAUGAUUGCAGCGGCGCUGCUCCGGCGAAGCCGUAGACGAGUGGAGGUGCUCUGGGCCGAGGCGAGCGAGCUGCUGCUCGUAACUGAAAGAGCAGAGGCAGCUGCAAGGUUCAAACACCGGCAACUGGGCGUGAUGGGCUUCGGCGAUGUAGGCGCGGCGACUGAUGCAGGCAAGCAGGACAAGGCGGGGGGACUCCGGCGAGCGGCAGGUUGGCACGGUUUCGGCGAAGGAGAAGCAGAGGAGGCAUGAAAGGAGGGCGGCGCGACGCGAAGCACCAAGGGCGGCCAUGGCGGGUCCCUAUAGAGAGAGAGACGAGAGGGAUGAGAGACAGCAGGGAAAACGAGUAGGAGAAGGUCGGGGAUGGGGAAUCCGUGCGUGGGCAUGCUGAGAGCGCCGAAUUCGGGCGCGGGCGAUGCGACCUGAAGACGAGGGUAGCCAUGGCGUACGGGGCCUCGGAUGCUCGUUGCUGCAGGAGCUCUUGCUCCUGUGGUCGUGGAUGAAGGCGGCUGCGGGGCCGAAGGACGACGAGGAUGCAGGAGGCGCAGGGUGGCGGGAAGGUGGCUCGGGCUCCAAUGGUGUGAGCUGCCGGAGUGGAGGCAAGGCGAUGACUGCCUCGAUCCCAUCCGGAUCGAGUACCUAGGGCGUCGGCUGAAAUUGAGGAGAAGGAGGUUGAGGGGAGGCUCAAGCGCAUGUGGUUUGUGAGAAGAUAAUGGGGGUGGAUCCCCAUGGAGGAUGAGGUUGUUGGCGGCUCCAAUGGGCAGGGGAGGAUGCGGGAUGGAUCCCGAUGGAGAGGCUAAGUGGAAGGAGAGGUGGCUGGCUCGGGUUGGUGUGGUGGUGAAAGCGAGGAGGGGAUUUUUUUGGAUCAAGGAUGAGCCCGAGGAGGAAGAGACAGGAGGAGUGGCGGCGGCUUGGGGUGGAUGGGACAAGUGCCGUAGGUUUUAGGGUUUGGUCUGAAAUUAGACUAGGGGUGGACUAUAUAUAUGGAAAAGAGGGGAGUUGGACCAUCUGAUCAAAAUCAGACGGCUGAGAUAAAAUGCUAGGGAAGGCCAAACAAAUAAUCGCAGAUGUUUUAGGGAUGUUUGGGGAUGAUCCAAAUCCAACGGUGACGGCUGCCCGGGUCGGGUCCGGGACAGCUUUCAGACGCGCGAGUGAGGAGGGCCGCGGGCUGACGAGAGAGCUUAGGUUGCCUGGCGGUAGGUAGUGGGCUGUGUAGACGGUCUAGAGAGGAAAGAGAGGGAAAGCCCGGCAACAGUUUCCGGAGACCGAAAACGUCCGACUAUAUUGCUGCUAUAGUUAUCCGUUGGGGCGUCAAACGGACUCCGAAUGCAAUGAAACUUGGCAGACGGCCUACUACAACAUAAAAACACCGCAUGCCAACUUUCAACCCAUUCCGAGAACAUUUUCCGGCCACUUAUAAAAUACCAUUUCGGACAUGCCGCGGGCGCGUGCAAGUGUGUCUGGGCUCAGAACGGACAACGGAAGGAACUGGGAGACCCGGGCUAAUGCAAGUUUUGAAAACAUGAUGAUGCAAUGCACAUGAUGACAUGACAAGAUGCAACACACAAGCGAAUGACAUGGCAACGACAGCGAAUAACUGGAGGACACUUGGCGCAAUGGUCUCGGGGCGUUACAACACUCCACCACUACGAGAGGAUCUCGUCCCGAGAUCUAGAAUGGCACCGGAGGGAAAAACGGAAGAGGAAGAGACGGUAAAACUAAGUUGCUUCUUUGACAAACGAGUGAAACCAAAGAACCUUGAGAGGUUGAACAAAUUGAGAGAAAAUAAUACAAUGAAGAUGAACGGAGUGGAAAACACUCCGUUAGGAAAGAGGAACAAGGAACAUCACGAGAACCCUGUAGGUUGAAAGACAUGAGAAAAGGGUUGCAAUGAACAAGAAGUACAUGCAAGCACUCUGGUAGAAAACGGGAAGUACAAGGAACGAUAAGGAUCAAUUGCAACAACACUCCGGUUAACAAGAUAGAGAAGGAAUAAGAAUGAUAUAAUUUGGACAGCACUCUGACUGUAAAUGGAAGGAAUCGAACAUGAUCUUGACAAGAUGAGGAUACUUGAUGAGAUCAACAACACACUAACUCCGGAACUAUUGAAAGAAUGGCACAAUGGGUAAAAAGAUUUCAGACAGCACUCCGGUUGAAAAGUGAGGCAAAACUUGAUAAGAUGGGAGAACUUGCAAAGAGGGCGCGAUACUCCGGUUAAAUGGACAAGCACGAAAAAACAUGACAUUUGACAAAACGAGAUGAUGGGUGAAUAUAGCAACAAUACAAAGCCUUCGGAAUGAAAUAAAAGAGUGGAAUGGAAUGAACAGAGGGAAACAAGAUCUUGAGAUAGCGCGCUUACAACAAAUGCUAGAAUGGAGUUGUUGGAUUAUCAAUAGCAAAAGGAUAAGCUUGAUAUGGACUUAUAGAAGACAUCUCAAAAUUAUGAGGUGACAACUUGCCACUCACGGAAAAGAUAUGAUUGGGAGCUAGAAAAAAGAUUGAAAUCUUCUUCCACCGAGGUGAUAAGGAUAAAACACAAAGAGCAACAUUCCCAAUGGAAGACUUUAGGUGAAAACUAUACCAAGAUAACUCUAAGGAAGAAAGUGAUGGGUUUAAAUAUCUCAUUCCUGACAACUUUUGAAUCAUGAAACAUGAACUCAAAUUGUCACGAAUGACAUAACACCACCUCAAAAGAUGAGAUAGAAAGAAUUGCACUUCGAAAUGCAAGAUGAAGAGAGCUUAACCUGCUCAAGACAAAACAUGUAUUGAGCACCAUGUUUAUUUUAGAGUAUAGCUUGGCGGAUCUUAACUUCAAGAGAAAUAUUGAAGAGCAAUAAAAAAUGCAAAGAAUCCUUGACGAACUACCAUGUAGAACCUCCAUGAAGAACUCCGGUAACAAAAUGAUGACCCAAUGAAAGGAAAGAGAAGUUGAAAACACAAGGUGAAGCCUUGUAAUGAUUAGAAGGAGCUUCACGAUGAUAUAAUCGAGAAAAGCUUGGAACUCAGGAAAAGAAAGGUGAACCAUUGAAAACGAGAAUUUUGAUGAACCUCCGGAAUAAGGAAUUAAUCACUUGGAUGAAACAAGAAUAAGAAUUAUGUUAUGUGUAUCCUUCACCAAUUUAUAUUGAUGGCGAGCAACGGAUUUGGCAUACUACUUAUUCUCGUAGAAAGGAUUAAGAGCGAUAUAGCGCAAACUUGAGAAGGUCUUCGACGAACCACCGGAAGGGUUUUGAAAGAAAUUAAUGAAUUGAUACAAUACCAACGGAAGAGAAUUCUUGAACGAACCACUGGAAGAAUUGAAAAUGAAAAUAGCAAAGGCACAAUUCACAGGUAAGAAUUGGAAACCGAAAGAAGAUACUUGAGGGGAUUUGAUACAAGAUAACGAAGAGAUCACGAACUAAUUAGAGAAUACUUGAGCGAUGCACUGGUAAGAUUUAGAGAAAGAGAGCUGAAAGUUGAGAAUGAAUACUUCUGAGAUGAUGGGCUCUGGAGAAUCAAACUGAAAAGACUCCUGAAUUGCUCCGCAUGGGUGAAAAGAAUUCUCACAAUCGAAAACAAUUAUGAGAGGAUGGCAACAAGCUAGAAUCACGAAUCUUUGAGAGAACGGAUAAGAUUUAGAGUAAAACUCUUCUUCGGUCUUCAAAAUUCGAGAAUGAUGACGAGAAACACCACCAUGAAUUGCCGAGGUACUCUGAGAUGAAUAUUAGAAAGGUUGAACUAACGAUGAAAAGAAUUUGAAGAUCUUGGAGAAAGACAUUUGACUGAUGAUAAUUCAUUCUUACGUCAAACUUGGAAAAGAAUUUGAGAGUAACACCGGUUAAAUAGAAGAGUCAGGUAAGAUCCUGGGAAAAGACAUGUGGGUUAGGGCCCACUCAAAAGAAACACCGUUGAAUGAUUACUUGAAAAGGAGAUUGCACAGGUUGAAUUAAAUGGCUUGAAUGAGGUAACAACCUCGAAAUAGUUUGAAUUGAAAACAGAGUGGAAACACGAAUCUUCGAGAUAUCUUGAGCACUCCAGAAUAAUUGAAUAGCGUGAAGUGAAAGAUUAAGAGGUGCAACGGCAUGGGAAAGCAUUGAAACAAGGAAAUAAUAUGAUCAAUAGAGCUUGACUUGAAUCCACCGGAGAAGAAAAAGAGCGAAUAAUGAUGAACUUGAGGCUCCGUUAGUAUCUUCCUGAGAAUCACCAGAUAAGAACAUUGACGGAAAAGAAUGAAGAGGCUUCCCAUCAAUAAGAUGGAUAGUUGAUUAAGUAAUCUGAUUCCUUGAAGGAAAAGGGUGGGAGGGCGGGAAAACAAAGGCAACUUGGAGACGGAUGAAACAAACACCGUUGAGAAGACUUAGAAUUGAUCUAGCGGAUGUUGAAAUGAACGGAUCCACUUGAAGAGAAACACGCCGGUUGAAAAGGAUUGACAUGACAAUCUUGAUUAUCAUGAAGGAUUGGUAUUCACAUAGGAGUAUGAGAACACCGCUUCGGAAAGGUAUGGAAUCAACACUUGACUUCGAAGCAACUCGAAUACCACAACUCAAAACAAAACAAAGGAUUGGCUUGCAAAAUAAGCCAGAACAAACAUAUGAUAGAGAUUUCGUCCGAAGUUUUCGUGGUGGGGCCCACACGGGCUCGAUCGUACAUCACCAUCAUGUACAAGGCAGUGCACAUGACAUAUGAAGCGUCCCCGAGUCAGCAUAGCCAAGGACUCUUUAAGACACAGCGAGACCACUGUAAAACCAACCGUGGAUAGGCGGACCACUAGACGUCGAACCCCAAUUUCAUAUCAUACAUCUGUCGGAAAGAUAUCCUAGGAGCUACUUGAAUUCCCACUUAUAAACUCCCGAAACUCUCCGGUUAUGCAAUCAGGUGUUGGGAUACAGGGGAAGCAUAAUAAUCUCACCCAAAACUAACAAAUCCUACAUCCAGUUGUAUCCAUCCUUCAACACAUAACUAAGACACCUUCGGAAAUCAUUUACCUCAACCUUCGAAAAGCAUCCGUUAUACGAGUUAUGGCAAUACUCUCGAACUCCCGCCCCAGUACUGGAUGAUGUCGAGGUUAUCUCACCAACAACUGCAUAAAAGAGAUUUUCGAUGUCGGCGAAACUCAGGUAUUCUAGAACUGCAACGAUAAAAUUGUGAUGACAAAACCUUGGAGCUCAACUCCCCGGGACACUGCCACAACCCCUAAAUGUCAGGAGGCACCAAGAACAAUGUUCUCAUCACAAAAACAUCGGAACGAUUCCAAGAUACCCGCGUGAUCCUAAAAAAAUAUUUUAGUGAAAUUUGAGAAGAGAAGAGUCAAAACUCUACGUCAGGAGGCCUCACCAGAGCGACGAAGGGACUGAGUAGUAAAAAGAAUCCUACUCUCCGGUAUAUAUAUAUAUAUAUAUAUAAACCUAUAAGACUCAAAACAUUUUUCUAGACUCAACAACGCCAACGAUUCGAUCAAGCAGGGGGCUCCUAAGUCGGGGAAGUCUCUGAUUACCAACUUGUCACACUCACGAUGCGGCUAUCUCCCACGUGUCGGAGCACGACUUAAAGGCAUAACCGCAUUGUAGGCAUGUCGCAAGAGGGGUAAUCUUUACACAUCCCAUGUACUGAAUAAGAAAGAGGUACAGAGUUGGCUUACAAUCGCCACUUCACACAAUACAUGAAUAUAGCAUUAGAUCAUCUAGAAUACAAUCAAGGUACGACUACGGAACCAAAAUAAGAAAGACAGCCCCAAUUGCAUAGAUCCCCGAUCGCCCCAACUGGGCUCCACUACUGAUCAAAGGAAACGAAACAACACAACGAACACUAACUUCAUCGAGCUCCUCCUCGAGCUCGGCUGCGUCACCUGCACUGGUAUCAUUGGCACCUGCAACUGGUUUUGGAAGUAAUCUGUGAGUCACGGGGACUCAGCAAUCUCACACCCUCGUGAUCAAGACUAUUUAAGCUCAUGGGUAGGAAAAAGGUAGUGAGAUGGAGCUGCAGCAAGCACUAGCAUAUAUGGUGGCUAACUUACGCAAAAGAGAGCGAGAAGAGA
rnacentral:lncRNA from 1 species